rnacentral:rRNA from 1 species
GCAUAAUCAUUUGCCAUUUAAUUGGUGGCUAGAAUAAAUGAAUACACGAAAGUUAAGCUGUCUCAUUUUUAUCCAUAAAAAUUGACCUCCUGGUGAAGAGGCCAGUGUUAAAUAAAAAGACGAAAAGACCCUAUAGAGCUUUACCCUAUAUAUAAUUAUCCUAAAAAGGGUUUAGUUGGGGCAACUAGAGAGAAUCUAAAUCCUCUCUUAUAAAAACUUAUACUGAUCCGUUAAUCGACCAGAAGAAGAAGCUACCUUAGGGAUAACAGGCCAAUCCUUUUUGAGAGACCAUAUUGACAAAAGGGA